GCCCGCCGCCCGCCGCCCGCGCCCCCGCUCCGCCCCGCGGCGCCGCCGGACCCGCACCAUGUCGCUGUCGCGCACGGAGGAGAUGCACCGGCUCACGGAGAACGUGUACAAGACCAUCAUGGAGCAGUUCAACCCCAGUCUCCGGAACUUCAUUGCCAUGGGGAAGAACUAUGAGAAGGCCCUGGCAGGUGUGACCUACGCGGCCAAAGGCUAUUUUGACGCCCUCGUGAAGAUGGGUGAACUAGCCAGCGAGAGCCAGGGCUCCAAGGAACUCGGAGACGUUCUCUUUCAGAUGGCGGAAGUCCACCGGCAGAUUCAGAAUCAGCUGGAAGAGAUGCUCAAGUCGUUCCACAAUGAGCUGCUUACACAGCUGGAGCAGAAGGUGGAGCUGGACUCCAGGUACCUGAGUGCCGCGUUGAAGAAAUACCAGACGGAGCAAAGGAGCAAGGGUGAUGCGCUGGACAAGUGCCAGGCCGAGCUGAAGAAACUCCGCAAGAAGAGCCAGGGGAGCAAGAACCCGCAGAAGUACUCGGACAAGGAGUUGCAGUACAUCGACGCCAUCAGCAACAAGCAGGGCGAGCUGGAGAACUACGUGUCGGACGGCUACAAGACGGCCCUGACCGAGGAGAGGAGGAGGUUCUGCUUCCUGGUGGAGAAGCAGUGCGCCGUGGCCAAGAACUCGGCCGCCUACCACUCCAAGGGCAAGGAGCUGCUGGCACAGAAACUGCCACUAUGGCAGCAGGCCUGCGCCGACCCCAACAAGAUCCCAGACCGCGCGGUGCAGCUGAUGCAGCAGAUGGCCAGCAGUAACGGCUCCGUCCUCCCCAGCGCCCUGUCGGCUUCCAAGUCCAGCCUGGUCAUCUCAGACCCCAUCCCGGGGGCCAAGCCCCUGCCGGUGCCCCCUGAGCUGGCCCCGUUUGUGGGGCGGCUGUCUGCCCAGGAGAGCACGCCCGUCAUGAAUGGCGUCUCGGGCCCAGAUGGCGAAGACUACAGCCCCUGGGCCGACCGCAAGGCCGCCCAGCCCAAGACCUCGUCUCCUCCACAGUCACAGAGCAAGCUGAGCGACUCCUACUCCAACACGCUCCCCGUGCGCAAAAGCGUGGCUCCGAAGAACAGCUACGCAGCCACUGAGAACAAGACCCUGCCGCGCUCCAGCUCCAUGGCGGCUGGCCUGGAGCGCAACGGCCGCAUGCGAGUGAAAGCCAUCUUCUCCCACGCGGCCGGGGACAACAGCACCCUGCUGAGCUUCAAGGAGGGAGACCUCAUCACCCUGCUGGUGCCUGAGGCCCGGGACGGCUGGCACUACGGCGAGAGCGAGAAGACCAAAAUGCGGGGUUGGUUUCCCUUCUCCUACACCCGGGUUCUGGACGGCGACGGCGGCGACAGAUUGCACAUGAGCCUGCAGCAGGGAAAGAGCAGCAGCACGGGGAACCUCCUGGACAAGGAGGACCUGGCCCUCCCGCCCCCCGACUACGGCACGUCAUCCCGUGCGUUCCCUGCCCAGACGGCCGGUACCUUCAAGCAGAGGCCCUACAGCGUGGCUGUGCCUGCCUUCUCCCAGGGUCUAGAUGACUACGGAGCACGGGCUGUGAGCAGCGCCGAAGUGGAAGUGGCCAGAUUCUGAGCCGCCCCUCACUAGACUUAAGCACCGCCGUGAUGUGCUCCUCCCCACGGGCAGUGACUGCUUCAACAGUCCUGGACUCUCUUCUCUCACCACAUCUGAGCUGCAGCGUGAGAAACUUCUGGAGAAUUCUGGAGACAAAUGCUCUUGACACUUGGGGACGGGGCGGAUGGAAAUGCCUUCCCUGCCUCUAGAUUCCUUCUUCCAAGAGACCUUAGGAGGCCUACGCCUGCCACCCCCGCUGCCCCUUGGCCCCAGGGCUCUGGACGGAGCCCAGCCUCUGCCCCAGCCCGCCCCCCAGGCACAGGGCUGCAGCCCCCCGUGGGAGCCGGGGCAUCCCCCACAGACUGGGCCUGGCCCAGGAGUCACCCGGGGUGGGUGUCAGGGCCCCCGGGGAGUUUGAGGCACCCCUGCCUGCUCUGCCAAGGUGCCCCCUGGGUGUGGCCCUGAGGGGCGGGACACAGUGGACUCCACCCCGGGAGGGUGGGCGUCCCGGAGGCACAGGGACCAGUCAGGCCCCAGAGGAGAAAGUUGAGGAUGAAGUGGAAAUCUGGGCUCCCUCUGCUCCAGAACCACAGAAGGCUGGGAACCGCACCCCGAAACGACGCUGCUCUUCUCCGAUCACGUUUCUCGCUCACCCUCACGUAGUGGACUCAGAACAGGCGACGCCCGGAGUGCGCGGCGAGAGGUUGAAGUGGAGAGGUGCUGGGCCGUAGCGCUCGGCCCCCCUCAGCUGUAGGGCUGUAGGGUCUGUGCCCCGCGACACCCCGAAGCGUGACUGCUAACCGGGUGCUGGAUCGGCCUCUGGGGAGGGGCCCGGCUGGGCAGGGAGCUGGCGGCACCGGUGGCCCUGGGCCUGCCCUGCCGAGUGUAGACCGCCCCGUCCGGGGCCCAGCGGGGGUGCUCCCGUGGGGACGGGAGGGGCCGGCUUGGGGCAGACCCUGCCAUCCAGAUGGUCCCUGCCGCCCUUUGCCGGCGCGACUGGAGCCUCCUUGUAUCUUGGUGGUUUGUGGUCACACGUUGGCUCCCCCGGCAGUGACGGAUGUCCGCGGGGCCAGGGACUGUGCAGGGGGCCCUGGGUUGGGAUUUUGUCCUGUUGCGUCAGCAGGGGGUUGACCUGCCGGGCUCACCCGGGCGCCCACCCUGGGGCAGCUGCUGAGCCCCAUCUUCCCCAAAGGCAGGAGGCCCCCGGGACCUGCGGUGUCGAUGGCGCGGUGCCCUGCACUCAAUUUUGGGGAAGAUGAGAAAGGGGGAUCGGAGGCCAGGCACCCUCUGGGGGGGGCCUCUCUGACCCUGCCGCCCCCCUCCGGCCCCAGCUGCUGCGGCUGGGUCCCCGGCCCUGGGACCAGGGCAGGAGUCGGGUGUGCCGCCCACAGCCGCUUGGCCCCGCACGGGAGCUGCUCGACCCCCACCUCCACCUGAACAAAGCUGCCCCAUUGCGGCCCCCCAGACGCCCCCUGCCUUGACCCCGGCUGGGGACAGCCAAGGGCCCAGAGCCAGAGCCGCCUUCUGGAGCCAGAGUCGAGUCACGGUGGCAGGGCCUGGGGCAGACAUCGCUGUCACAGCACACCUGGCUUUGGGAGCCAGAGGUGGCCGCUGCCCCCCGAGCCUCUGAGCUGCGGCCGGUCUGCACACGUCGGCCAGGAGAGACUGGCACGCCUGGGGGAGCUCGCGGGGUGGGAAGGGCCUUGAACGCCGGGCUCGUCGCGCUCCACAUCAGAAGAAGCUCAUGGGCCACGGGGCCAAGCAGGAUCCUUCUGUCCCCGCGCAGACGUGGAAGCCGUGCGCCAAUAAGUCGGCCGCUCUCCCUAGUUUAUCCUUUAAAAAUUCCGUCCGAGUUAUCUCAGUGUCUUAGAAAACACAGGGAGGGGCCCCCAGCCCAUGUGCCCCCCAGCUGCCGUGGACACCAGCCCAGCUGUGCCAGAGGCGACCCCUGCCCCAGGAACCCCUUUGCCAGCGUCCAGCUGAAGCCGACCGUGACCAAUGACAGGUCUGCACCCCUCCUCAGCUGACGGCCAGGCCCCCACCGCUGCCCGCUGGGCCCCUGCUCCCCACCCGCACGCAGACCCUCUUUUGU